rnacentral:rRNA from 1 species
UACGUAGGGUGCGAGCGUUGUCCGGAAUUAUUGGGCGUAAAGGGCUCGUAGGCGGUUUGUCGCGUCGGGAGUGAAAACACACAGCUUAACUGUGUGCUUGCUUCCGAUACGGGCAGACUAGAGGUAUGCAGGGGAGAACGGAAUUCCUGGUGUAGCGGUGAAAUGCGCAGAUAUCAGGAGGAACACCGGUGGCGAAGGCGGUUCUCUGGGCAUUACCUGACGCUGAGGAGCGAAAGUGUGGGGGAGCGAACAGG